GGCUGCACCCGUUCCCAUUCCGAACACGGCCGUGAAACACCCCUGCGCCAAUGGUACUUCGUCUCAAGACGCGGGAGAGUAGGUCGCUGCCAGGU
rfam:Rhizobium sp. YS-1r CONTIG.69, whole genome shotgun sequence.